rnacentral:rRNA from 1 species
UACGAAGGGUGCAAACGUUAUUCGGAAUUACUGGGCUUAAAGAGUCGCUAGAGCGGUAUGAAAAGUAGGGUGUGAAAGCCCUCGGCUCAACCGAGGAAUUGCGCCUCUAAACUGUCGUACUCGAGGAACCUAGAGGUGAGCAGAACAGAUGGUGGAGCGGUGAAAUGCGUUGAUAUCAUCUGGAAUACCGGAGGCGAAGGCGGCUCACUGGGGGGUUUUCUGACGCUGAGGAACGAAAAGCCAGGGUAGCGAACGGG